AGGUUAAGUGAAUAAGGGCGCACGGUGGAUGCCUUGGCACUAGGAGCCGAUGAAGGACGGGACUAACACCGAUAUGCUUUGGGGAGCUGUAAGUAAGCUAUGAUCCAGAGAUUUCCGAAUGGGGGAACCCAAUAUCUUUUAUAGGAUAUUACUUUUCAGUGAAUACAUAGCUGAUUAGAGGUAGACGCAGAGAACUGAAACAUCUUAGUACCUGCAGGAAGAGAAAGAAAAUUCGAUUCCCUGAGUAGCGGCGAGCGAAACGGGAAGAGCCCAAACCAACAAGCUUGCUUGUUGGGGUUGUAGGACUCCAAUAUGGUAGUCUGUUAGUAUAGUUGAAGGAUUUGGAAAAGUCCGCUAAAGAGGGUGAAAGCCCCGUAGACGAAAUGCUAACAACACCUAGGAGGAUCCUGAGUACGGCGGAACACGAGAAAUUCCGUCGGAAUCCGCGGGGACCAUCCCGCAAGGCUAAAUACUCCCUAGUGACCGAUAGUGAACCAGUACCGUGAGGGAAAGGUGAAAAGCACCCCGGAA
rnacentral:rRNA from 1 species